AUACAUGUCAAGUGCCUAAUCAUAUCAAAAAGCAAUGUAUGAAAAUAUUUGAGUUUAUGUAUUACAGUAGAAACAUUACAGAUACAUAAAAAAAGUUAUUAUCAGUGAUUUUUAUGUUUAUAUUUAUUAGGAAAAGGCCAGAAAUGAAACAAUGUAGCCUAUGCCAUGCCGCUGUCGUUAUACUGGACAGGCACCUACAAAAAUGCCACGAUCUGAAGAAAAAUGAUGAAGAAUACAAAAAAGCAAAAAGGAAGUGUUAAGUUGCCUGUUGAAGAAUCUCAGAGCGACUUCAAGGAGUACCUGCUUACAAGCAGACAGCACAAACGCCGACAAGCCAAACAAACCAUUGCAGAAUUCAAUGCAAUCUCCGGAGGAAAAGAAAACGCCAAAUAUCUAAGGCAGUAAGUUUUUAAAAAUUUAACUAUUAUUAUCUAUACCCACAUUCUAUUACAUAAAGCAACCUUUAAUUUUUUUUUUUAUCAAAUCUUAUAUAUUUAUUGCAAUAUAAUAUAAAAAGUUUGAGAAAGUAUGGCAAGCCAGGAUGCAUUCAAUAUAUGCUUAAAUGUAAGACUAAUACCUUAAAACCUCGAAUUGAAGCCCUGGGCUUUCUUUUUUCUUUGCGAACUUUGGAUGGGUUUCUUUUCGAGAUGGGAUUCUUUUUAAGAUGGGCUUCUUUUCGAGACUACUUUUGCAAAAUAAAGAGGGGGCUUCUAAUCAAAAUGAAUGCCAUAAAUUGUUACUAUAAAACAAUAAACAUGGCAACUAUAACAUCAAUAUGUAUCAUAGAGUGUAUCUAACUGGCAUUAAAUCACCUAAACUACUGUAUAAACCAAGCUUGUUUUUCAGUUAUUUUUUCUGAAAUUCACUGUAUGUGACUGUAUAUCUUAAAAAGAAGCCUAUG